CUACGGGCUGCACCAGUGGGGAAUAUUGCACAAUGGAGGAAACUCUGAUGCAGCAACGCCGCGUGGAGGAUGACACUUUUCGGAGCGUAAACUCCUUUUAUAUAGGAAGAAGAUGACGGUACUAUAUGAAUAAGCGCCGGCUAACCCCGUGCCAGCAGCCGCGGUAAUACGGAGGGCGCAAGCGUUACUCGGAAUCACUGGGCGUAAAGAGCGUGUAGGCGGAUUAAAAAGUCAGAAGUGGAAUCCUAUAGCUUAACUAUAGAACUGCUUCUGAAACUCUUAAUCUAGAAUAUGGGAGAGGUAGAUGGAAUUUCUGGUGUAGGGGUAAAAUCCGUAGAGAUCAGAAGGAAUACCGAUUGCGAAGGCGAUCUACUAGAACAUUAUUGACGCUGAGACGCGAAAGCGUGGGGAGCAAACAGGAUUAGAUACCCUAGUAGUC
rnacentral:rRNA from 1 species